AUCCUGCGGAUGAUAGGUGGCUGAGACGGAGUGCCCCGCCCCACGUAAGAAAAAGGAACACGGCGGCGCGUUUCCAUGGCAGCAUGGACGGUGCAGGCCCUCCCCCUAGUGCAGCCGGAGAAUGACAGUAUCCUUGAACCGAAGGGACCUUGAGAGGGCGUGAAAAAUAUUCCCCUCCCUCCAAGACGAUUGUAUUUGCCACAGCUCAGACAUUUGAGAAUCUCUACCUGCUUUCUAUCGUUCAGACACCUUCGAGCCUCUUCUGUGGAAAAGGAGAGUUUCCCGGCUUUCUAAUAAAAGGGCACAGCCGAACCCGAGUGAGGGUGCCUAGUACUUCAGAGCCGGUGACACGGAGGAGGACGAGAAGACUCUUAGGGAGUAGCCUGUGUCAAUCAGGAUUCCUCUUGUGAAUCUCCACCUGAAUUCAGGGGCCUCACCUUACAACCCUGCUGGGAAUUGAAGCCUGUGGAGACGACAGCUCCAGACACGUUCUUUGCACCUCCCAUGGAGAGAACGGAGCACUGUGCUUCUCCAACUCUGCCGUGGAAAGAACAGCUGCCACCCCUUCUAACUUGAUGACCUCAAAGCCCUGGGAUUCAAUUAUCCUCAUUGUGAUGCCAGGGUCUUGUAGAAAGUAUAGCAGCUGGGACAAGUAUUAAUGAACUAUGCCCGUGAAGCAUA